CCCUGGGACCCUCCCGGGCCUCGGGCUCACUCCCCUCUGUGCCCCUGCAGAUGCCCUUUGACUCCCGGCCCCUACAUCCCAGCUUUACUCCUCCCCAUCCUUCAGAGGUAUGCAGAAAGACCGUUUCCUGGGAACCCCAUCAGGGAGAGCCUGGUAGUGUCUGGUCCUGGAGCUGCCACAUCACCUGCCCAGACAUGUGCAGGGCCAUUCAGCCCCAGAUGUCACCCUGGCCUCCACUUCCUACAGGACAGGCUCUCCUCCAGCUGUUGGCCACCCCAGGGUCACCACUGAUCUUAAAGAGCCAACCAGCGUCCCCUCCAGGAACCUCACAGUGCUUCUACCCUGAUGAAGAUCACACAGGAGGACUGGGGACAGGCUCAUAGGAAGACUUCAGGGACUUCAAAGCUGGAUCCGGAUGCCAUCUCUUCAGGACGGAGUGUCCUUCUCUGCCCUCUGCUGCGCCCCCAUCCAGGGUUUGGCUUCUCUUCUUCCUCAUCUGCCCCAAGCCUGAAGCCCUUGAGGAACAUGGCUGAAGCAAUCUUGA